GCGGGAUAUCAUAUUCAGACAUUCUUUAGAUGGUUGUCAAAUGUCAAUUUCCAGUAUCUGAUCACAAAAGACACAUGCUUGUCAAUUUUGGUAUCUGAUGAAGAAACAUAACUAUAUGGCCUUGAUGAUCAGCCAGAGAAAUGAAGAGCAAAAGAUUCAAAAACAAACUAUGAGUACUGCCACAAAAUUCUUAUGCAAAAUUUUAUUGGACAACUAGAACAAAAAAUACUUCAGAGGACUUGAUAACUACCAUGAAUCAAGUGUCUUGGAUAGAAAUUGGAAGGAGAAAACUGCUGAUUUGGUUAUCCAACAUUGCAAUCACUCUUAUGAAGAAAGAACCUUCUGAACCUCAGCAGUGACGUCUUUUGGGGAUUUCUCUGCAUGAAGCUGCGCAAGAACACCUUUCUUGGCAUAAUAAUCAAUAACCUGUAGACCAAACAAAUAUUUAAACAGUUGUUAAAUGAGAUGCAUUAUCCAUUCCAAUUCAUUUUUAAAUAAUACAUCAUGCCUAUAGAAUUAAUGACAUUAAAAAUAUGGUGGCAAUUCCAAUUCUGCACUCCAAACGGGCCCUUUAGGGAAAAAGAGAGACACAAUCCCAUGAUAAGGUUGCUAAAUGUGUUAUGAUCCAUAAAAAAUUAGUGGUUGGACAGUUGACUCCUAAAGGUGACAUGCUUGUCAGUUUUGAUCAAGCAUUUAUCCUAAUUUAAUUUUUGUUUCCUUCCCAGCCACAGUGAGAAGCAUACAUACCUUGGAAAUGGAAUUGCAAAUUUGUGAAAUAGAGAGAAGAAUAAAAGGAAUGGAUACAAGCCAUUAGAUUUUGAUGCCAACAAUGUCUCUAAAAUUCUAAGCCACCAAAGCCUGAAUGCAUACAGCAUAACAUUGAGAUAAUACACACAUGCUAGCUAAAUAUCAUUGGAGAACAUGUGGGCAAAAAUACACUGAAUAACAAAAGAUCACAAAUAAGAGUUAACUAUGGUUGGUUACGAGUACCCUGAGAAUGCUUUUAACACUAAUAGACUGUCACUCUUAAUCAUUGACCAUUGAUCAGAUCAGCCACAUCAAAUCUGUCUCAUUAGAUGUGAAGGGGAAAGAAAUAUUUUGGACCACUUCUGACUUGGUAACAAAAGCAGAUGAAGUAGAAAAACUCUACACAUGCUAUACAAGCCAAAGAUUAAAAUUCCAUGCCAAAAUCAAAGAUAAUGGCAGGAAUGCUUGUCAAUUUGACUUUUGCACAUUAAUAAACAGAAAAUGUUGCAUUCCAAUGCUGGCUUUCUGAAAAGUGGCAAAUCGACUGCAUCUCUAAUGCCACAUCCAGGUAUGUACAAAUGCAAGCUCAAAUUUGGCAAGAAGGAAAAAAAUUCACGCACUAAUCAACUAGUAAAAUCUUCAAGGGAAAACGAAUUCAAUAAUUUUUAGUUCUUAAUAUCAACCUUAGAUAAAAAUAAAGAAAGUAAAUUUGAUUGCCCAAAAUUCACAUAAAGUAGAAAAGGAAUAUGAUUACAGAAGAAAGGGAAAAAAGCCUACAGGUUCAGUUUGCUUGUGGAAUGCUUCCAGCCUUGACCUUAGAACUUCUGGAGUGUCAUCUUUUCUUUGAAUCAGAGGCUCUCCUGUAACAUCAUCAACACCUUGAACUUUGGGAGGUGCAAAUUUAGAGUGGUAAGUCCGACCACUAGAAGGAUGGAUCCAACGGCCGGUAAUCCUUUCCUCCAAUAUUGAGUCAUCAAUUGCAAAGUUGAGCACCUUAUCAAUUUUAGUUCCCUGCUUCUGAAGCAUUUCAUCAAGCUUCUGUGCUUGAACAACCGUCCUUGGAAAGCCAUCCAGAAUGAAUCCUUUUUGACAAGAUGGUUUCUUCAUUGCUUCAUCAAUUAUCCCAACAACCAAAUCAUCGGAUACAAGUUCUCCCUUAUCCAUGGCUUCUUUAGCCUUAAUCCCCAGGGGAGUCUUAGCAGCAACUGCAGCUCUCAGCAUAUCACCAGUGGCCAAGUGGCACAAACAGUAGUCAUCUUUGAUAAUGGGGGACUGUGUACCCUUCCCUGAGCCAGGUGGACCAAUGAGAACGAGACGCUUGUCAGGCUUGGAGGAGCAGUUGAAGCGGCGAAGGAGUUCGGUCAUAAUAUCAACAGAAGGAACGUCCUCCAAUGCUACAGUUGAACUCGCCAUUAUCUUCGUGUGUGCGUAAAGUUUAGGCCUUUGCUAUUUGAGGAGAACUGGAGAGAGAGAGAGAGAGAGAG
rnacentral:misc_RNA from 1 species